GACGAACGCUGGCGGCGUGCUUAACACAUGCAAGUCGAACGGAAAGGCCCUGCUUUUGUGGGGUGCUCGAGUGGCGAACGGGGGAGUAACACGUGAGUAACCUGCCCUUGACUUUGGGAUAACUUCAGGAAACUGGGGCUACUACCGGAUAGGAGCUCCUGCUGCAUGGUGGGGGUUGGAAAGUUUCGGCGGUCGGGGCUGGACGCGCGGCUGAUCAGCUUGUUGGUGGGGGAGUGGCUUGCCAAGGCUUUGACGGGUAGCCGGCCCGAGAGGGUGACCGGCCACCUGGGGACUGCGAUACGCCCCAGACUCCUACGGGGGGCAGCAGUGGGGAAUAUUGCACAAUGGGCGGAAGCCUGAUGCAGCAACGCCGCGUUCGGGAUGACGGCCUUCGGGUUGUAAACCGCUUUCGCCUGUGACGAAGCGUGAGUGACGGUAAUGGGUAAAGAAGCACCGGCUAACUACGUG
rnacentral:rRNA from 1 species